rnacentral:rRNA from 1 species
AGUGGAUGGGGAGCAACCUAGUUGUGCGUGUGUAAAGGUAGUGCCAAGAAAAGCGAUGAUCAUGUUGAAAAUCAAUUCCCGGUACCCGAAACCGACACAGGUGGGCAAGUAGAGAAUACUAAGGGGCGCGAGGUAACUCUCUCCAAGGAACUCGGCAAAAUGACCCCGUAACUUAGGGAGAAGGGGUGCCACCGAGAGGUGGUCGCAGUGAAGAGGCCCAGGCGACUGUUUAGCAAAAACAUAGGUCUCUGCAAACUCGAAAGAGGAGGUAUAGGGGCUGACGCCUGCCCAGUGCCGGAAGGUUAAAGAAGUUGGUCAGUUUUAGGAUGAAGCUAGCGACUGAAGCCCCGGUGAACGGCGGCCGUAACUAUAACGGUCCUAAGGUAGCGAAAUUCCUUGUCGGGUAAGUUCCGACCCGCACGAAAGGCGUAACGAUCUGGGCGCUGUCUCGGAGAGAGGCUCGGCGAAAUAGGAUUGUCUGUGAAGAUACGGACUACCUGCAUUUGGACAGAAAGACCCUAUGAAGCUUUACUAUAGCUUGGAAUUGUGUUCGGGCUUCCUGUGCGCAGGAUAGGUGGGAGGCGUAGAAGGUAUUCUUGUGGGGAUACUGGAGCCAACGGUGAGAUACCACUCUCAGGAGGCUAGAAUUCUAACUUAAUUAAGGACAGUUUCAGGUGGAAAUCAGUCGAAGAGUGCAAAGGCAGAAGGGAGCUUGACUGCGAGAAGUACAGUUCGAGCAGGGUGGAAACACGGUCUUAGUGAUCCGACGGUGCUGUGUGGAAGGGCCGUCGCUCAACGGAUAAAAGUUACUCUAGGAUAACAGGCUGAUCUCCCCCAAGAGUUCACAUCGACGGGGAGGUUUGGCACCUCGAUGUCGGCUCAUCGCAACCUGGGGCGGAAGUACGUCCCAAGGGUUGGGCUGUUCGCCCAUUAAAGCGGUACGUGAGCUGGGUUCAGAACGUCGUGAGACAGUUCGGUCCAUAUCCGAUGUAGGCGUGAGAAUAUUGAGAGGAGCCUUCCUUAGUACGAGAGGACCGGGAAGGACGCACCGCUGGUGUACCUGUUAUGAUGCCAAUUGUAAACGCAGGGUAGCCAAGUGCGGAGAGGAUAACCGCUGAAAGCAUCUAAGUGGGAAGCCCACCUCAAGAUGAGUAUUCUGGUGUAAGGUCACGGGAAGACGACCCGUAAAUAGGCACGAGGUGGAAGUGCAGAGAUGUAUGAAGCCGAAGUGUACUAAUAGACCGUCGGCUUGAUC